rnacentral:lncRNA from 1 species
AUGGACGUUGCCGUUUGGGGUCUGAGUGUCCCCAUCCCUUUGGGCGUCACUGUUUGGGGUCUGCGUGUCCCCAGCUCCCUGGGCAUCCUCGUUUGGGGUCUGCAUGUUCCCAUCCCCCUGCACAUCACUGUUUGGGGUCUGCGUGUCCCCAUACCCCUGGGCAUCCUCGUUUGGGGUCUGCAUGUUCCCAUCCCCUUGGGCAUCACCGUUUGGGGUCUGCAUGUCCUCAUCCCCCUGGGUGUCACUGCCUGUAGGGCUUCAUGUCCACAUCCCCCUGGGCAUCCCUGUUUGAGGGCUGCGUGUCCCAAUCCCCUUGGGCAUCACCGUUUGGGGUCUGUAUGUCCCCGUCCCCCUGGGCAUUAUUGUUUGGGGUCUGCAUGUCCCCAUCCCCCUUGGGCAUCAUCAUUUGGGGUCUGUGUGUCCCUGUCCCCCUGGGCAUUGCUAUUUGGGGUCUGCAUAUCCCUGUCCCCCUGGGUGUCACUGCCCUUAGGGCUUCAUGUCCACGUCCUCCUGGGCAUCGCCAUUUGGGGUCUACAUGCCCUGUCCCCCCCUGCACAUCACUGUUUGGGGUCUGUGGGUCCCCAUCUCCCUGGACAUCACUGUUUGGGGUCUGCAUGUCCUCAUCCCCCUGGGUGUCACUGCCCAUAUGUCCUCAUGUCCCUGGGCAUCACCAUUUGGGGUCUGCUUGUCCCUGUCCCUCUGGGCAUUGCUAUUUGGGGUCUGCAUGUUCCCAUCCCCUUUUACAUCACUGUUUGGGGACUGCAUGUCCCCAUCUCCCUGCACAUCAUCGUUUGGGGUCUGCGUGUCCCUGUCCCUCUGGGCAUUGCUAUUUGGGGUCUGCACGUCCCUGUCCCCCCGUACAUCACCGUUUGGGGUCUGCGUGUCCCCCUCAGGAGGGGCAGCGCCGGGAGCACCGUGCGGCCCCGCAGCCCUGGAGCUCUGCAGGCGUCGUUUUUGGGAUGAAAACAGGAAAACGUCGUGCCAACAGCAAUAAACAGCACGGCGGGACCGAGCCGGGGCA